rnacentral:tRNA from 1 species
GCACCGGUGGUGUAAUGGCGCAGAGCAUUCCCGCCCGGUCAGAGGGAGGUGCGGGUUCGAGUCCCGCCUGGCGCU